AGAACGAACGCUGGCGGCAUGCCUAAUACAUGCAAGUCGAACGAACUCUUCGGAGUUAGUGGCGCACGGGUGCGUAACGCGUGGGAAUCUGCCCCUUGGUUCGGAAUAACAGUUGGAAGCGACUGCUAAUACCGGAUGAUGACGAAAGUCCAAAGAUUUAUCGCCAAGGGAUGAGCCCGCGUAGGAUUAGCUAGUUGGUGAGGUAAAGGCUCACCAAGGCAACGAUCCUUAGCUGGUCUGAGAGGAUGAUCAGCCACACUGGGACUGAGACACGGCCCAGACUCCUACGGGAGCAGCAGUAGGGAAUAUUGGACAAUGGGCGAAAGCCUGAUCCAGCAAUGCCGCGUGAGUGAUGAAGGCCUUAGGGUUGUAAAGCUCUUUACCCGAGAUGAUAAUGACAGUAUCGGAGAAUAAGCCCCGCUAACGUCCGUGCCAGCAGCCGAC
rnacentral:rRNA from 1 species